rnacentral:rRNA from 1 species
GAGCAGGUGCUGCAUGGCUGUCGUCAGCUCGUGUUGUGAAAGUGUUCGGGUUAAGUCCCGCAACGAGCGCAACCCUUAUCCUUUGUUGCCAGCGGUCCGGCCGGGGAAACUCAAAGGAGACUGCCAGUGAUAAACUGGAGGAAGGUGGGGAUGACGUCAAGUCAUCAUGGCCCUUACGACCAGGGCUACACACGUGCUACAAUGGCGCAUACAAAGAGAAGCGACCUCGCGAGAGCAAGCGGACCUCAUAAAGUGCGUCGUAGUCCGGAUUGGAGUCUGCAACUCGACUCCAUGAAGUCGGAAUCGCUAGUAAUCGUGGAUCAGAAUGCCACGGUGAAUACGUUCCCGGGCCUU